rnacentral:rRNA from 1 species
UACAGAGGGGGCGAGCGCUGUUCGGAAUUACUGGGCGUAAAGGGCGCGUAGGCGGCCUGCUAAGUCGGACGUGAAAUCCCUCGGCUCAACCGGGGAACUGCGUCCGAUACUGGUUGGCUUGAAUUCGGGAGAGGGAUGCGGAAUUCCAGGUGUAGCGGUGAAAUGCGUAGAUAUCUGGAGGAACACCGGUGGCGAAGGCGGCAUCCUGGACCGAGAUUGACGCUGAUGCGCGAAAGCCAGGGGAGCAAACGGG